rnacentral:rRNA from 1 species
AAGUCGUAACAAGGUUUCCGUAGGUGAACCUGCGGAAGGAUCAUUAUAGAAAAUGAUUGGACAGUCC